CCUACGGGAGGCAGCAGUGAGGAAUAUUGGUCAAUGGCCGGAAGGCUGAACCAGCCAAGUCGCGUGAGGGACGACUGCCCUAUGGGUUGUAAACCUCUUUUAUAAGGGAAGAAUACAUGCUACGUGUAGCCUGAUGCCUGUACCUUAUGAAUAAGCAUCGGCUAACUCCGUGCCAGCAGCCGCGGUAAUACGGAGGAUGCGAGCGUUAUCCGGAUUAUUGGGUUUAAAGGGUGCGUAGGCGGUUGUUUAAGUUAGUGGUUAAACGUCGGGGCUUAACCUUGAUUUGCCAUUAAUACUGUAAGACUCGAGUUCAGACGAGGUAGGCGGAAUGAGUUAAGUAGCGGUGAAAUGCUUAGAUAU
rnacentral:rRNA from 1 species